rnacentral:ncRNA from 1 species
AUGCACUCGGCACAUGUCUACUGUGUGUUCUCUUGGAUGCGGAAGAGUACAAUCUAAAUCUCUUAAUGAGGAUCCAUUGGAGGGCAAGUUUGGUGCCAGCAACCGCGGUAAUUCCAGCUCCAA